rnacentral:rRNA from 1 species
UCAGGAUGAACGCUAGCUACAGGCUAACACAUGCAAGUCGAGGGGCAGCAGGACGAUAGCUUGCUAUUGUUGCUGGCGACCGGCGCACGGGUGAGUAACGCGUAUCCAACCUUCCCCUUAGUAGGGCAUAGCCCGGUGAAAAUCGGAUUAAUACCCUAUGUUGUGUCAUGAGGACAUCUGAAUAACACUAAAGAUUUAUCGCUAAGGGAUGGGGAUGCGUCCGAUUAGGUAGUCGGCGGGGUAACGGCCCACCGAGCCCUCGAUCGGUAGGGGUUCUGAGAGGAAGGUCCCCCACACUGGUACUGAGACACGGACCAGACUCCUACGGGAGGCAGCAGUGAGGAAUAUUGGUCAAUGGGCGCGAGCCUGAACCAGCCAAGUAAGCGUGCAGGAUGACGGCCCUAUGGGUUGUAAACUGCUUUUAUACGGGGAUAAAGUGAGGGACGUGUCCCUUAUUGUAGGUACCGUAUGAAUAAGGACCGGCUAAUUCCGUGCCAGCCGCCGC